AGCCAUGCAUGUCUAAGUAUAAGCAAUUAUACGGCGAAACUGCGAAUGGCUCAUUAAAUCAGUUAUCGUUUAUUUGAUAGCACCUUACUACAUGGAUAACCGUGGUAAUUCUAGAGCUAAUACAUGCUAAAAAUCCCGACUUCGGAAGGGAUGUAUUUAUUAGAUUAAAAACCAAUGCCCCUCGGGGCUCUCUGGUGAUUCAUGAUAACUCCUCGAAUCGCACGGCCUUGCGCUGGCGAUGGUUCAUUCAAAUUUCUGCCCUAUCAACUUUCGACGGCUGGGUCUUGGCCAGCCAUGGUGACAACGGGUAACGGAGGGUUAGGGCUCGACCCCGGAGAAGGAGCCUGAGAAACGGCUACUACAUCCAAGGAAGGCAGCAGGCGCGCAAAUUACCCAAUCCCGACACGGGGAGGUAGUGACAAUAAAUACUGAUACAGGGCUCUUUUGGGUCUUGUAAUCGGAAUGAGUACAAUUUAAACCCCUUAACGAGGAACAAUUGGAGGGCAAGUCUGGUGCCAGCAGCCGCGGUAAUUCCAGCUCCAAUAGCGUAUAUUAAAGUUGUUGCAGUUAAAAAGCUCGUAGUUGAACCUUGGGCCUGGCUGGCCGGUCCGCCUCACCGCGUGCACUGGUCCGGCCGGGCCUUUCCCUCUGGGGAACCUCAUGCCCUUCACUGGGCGUGCUGGGGAACCAGGACUUUUACUUUGAACAAAUCAGAUCGCUUAAAGAAGGCCUAUGCUCGGAUACAUUAGCAUGGAAUAAUAGAAUAGGACGCGUGGUUCUAUUUUGUUGGUUUCUAGGACCGCCGUAAUGAUUAAUAGGGACAGUCGGGGGCAUCAGUAUUCAAUUGUCAGAGGUGAAAUUCUUGGAUUUAUUGAAGACUAACUACUGCGAAAGCAUUUGCCAAGGAUGUUUUCAUUAAUCAGGAACGAAAGUUAGGGGAUCGAAGACGAUCAGAUACCGUCGUAGUCUUAACCAUAAACUAUGCCGACUAGGGAUCGGACGAUGUUAUUCAUUGACUCGUUCGGCACCUUACACGAAAGUAAAGUUUUUGGGUUCUGGGGGGAGUAUGGUCGCAAGGCUGAAACUUAAAGAAAUUGACGGAAGGGCACCACCAGGGGUAAACUGCAGUUAACUCUGCCCCAGAAAGCAGCCCGAUGAAAAGGGUUAGUGGUGUUCCUCAGCGCUCGGCUACCGGCGUUGUAACUAAGUGCUAGUCUACCUAGGAGUUCCUAGGUAGGCGACACCUUCAAAUUGCGGGAAGUUCCUAAAGCUCGUGUGACUAACUAGCGUGUGAAAGUGCGCUGGGGCCCGGUUAAUAGCCACAGGGGAGUAACACUACACGAGAUGCUACAAUGGAUGAUCCGCAGCCAAGCUCCUACAACUCUAGUGAGUCAUGGAGAAGGUUCAGAGACUUGACGGAGGUGGUUGUAGUUCUGAGCUUUAUAAGCUUUAGUUUUUUUUUGGCGUUUUUUGGCAUUUUUUGGCAUGUAUAAAGGCUAGGCUAGCCUGGAGGAAAGUAGCUAGCUGUUAUGAUAGGCGAAUACAAGCACCUAUUACUAUGCCCUGGGGAGCGUUCAUCUCUCCAUGGGGUAUGUGUAUAUGUGCUAACUCGCAUGUCUAGCAGUAAUCGUAAAAUCCACCGGCAAUGUCUAGCCCUACCAAGCAGCAUCGACAGGCAGUCGUUGGGUGGGCCCGGCAAUUCGCUCUGAUUAGGAGAGAGUUACCAGACCAAGACACCCGCGACAAGCUAGGAAACUUAUGGAGGGCAGUGCGCGAUGCUCUAAGCGAACAGCAUAACGAGAUUACGGAGAUCCGAACUCUCGCUUCAGCUAGGCAAUUCGUGCUGCCCUCGAGGCCAUCAACCAGUAACUCUGUGACGGAGUGCAGGGAGGCUGUCGUUCGUGCUCUAGAGGAGGCUGCUGCAGAAGUACAAGAUGCAAGCAGCACCGUUAAGGUUCUUCAGGGUAUACACCCCGGCUGGGCCCGCGCGUUCCUCGUUCGAAAGUACAAGACACCAAACNGUGUUUCGGCGCUGGNNUGCUGGAUCUGCAAUCUCCAACCGGGGCAUCCAAACGGCUAUAUCAAGAUCAACCUGCGCAAUACAACCUAUCAGCCUAUUUCAGAGGGUAGUCCUGAGUAUGAGCUUGGCAUCCAGCCCUGGCUUCACCAGCUUGUUGUUGUCGGCAAAGGUCAAGGGACUAUGUUGUCUCUUACGACUGGAGCAGGCGGCUACGAGGUAUGUGUAAGCUUAGCAAGCUAGGUGACAAGAGCUAACUUCAGCGACUAGGUUUCGCACCUAUGCCACAACCCGGCUUGUUUCAACCCAGAGCAUAUUGUGGUGGAGCGGGCUAGGCUGAAUAAGGCGCGUAAUAGCUGCCAGGAUAGGAUGAUCUUUGAAGUCGAAGGUGUGGUUGUGAUUAGCCCAUGCCCCCAUUGGAACGAUGCAGAGUGGAAUGAUGGCAAUAAGGGUCUUGGUAAAGCUUGUGUGCUACCUACAGUAAAAAUACCAGCGGAUAUGUUUGGGGGCUAUCUGAAUGUUGCAGCAAACGGCAGCUUGGUUCGGCAAACAGGUAGCAACCCAGGAAUAUGAUAUGGUAUUCGAUGUUGUUUAAAGGUUAUUAUACAUGUGAAUAGAAAUCCAGCGUUAAAAGCUAAAGUAGCUUAGUGCUGCAGUUAAGAUAAAGUCCGGCCCUAUGGGAGACUAUAGGGGUUUUCGGGAGCCUGCGGCUUAAUUUGACUCAACACGGGGAAACUCACCAGGUCCAGACACAAGUAGGAUUGACAGAUUGAGAGCUCUUUCUUGAUUUUGUGGGUGGUGGUGCAUGGCCGUUCUUAGUUGGUGGAGUGAUUUGUCUGCUUAAUUGCGAUAACGAACGAGACCUUAACCUGCUAAAUAGCCCGCGUUGCCUUGGCAGCGCGCUGGCUUCUUAGAGGGACUAUCGGCUCAAGCCGAUGGAAGUUUGAGGCAAUAACAGGUCUGUGAUGCCCUUAGAUGUUCUGGGCCGCACGCGCGCUACACUGACAGAGCCAGCGAGUACUCCCUUGGCCGGAAGGCCCGGGUAAUCUUGUUAAACUCUGUCGUGCUGGGGAUAGAGCAUUGCAAUUAUUGCUCUUCAACGAGGAAUCCCUAGUAAGCGCAAGUCAUCAGCUUGCGUUGAUUACGUCCCUGCCCUUUGUACACACCGCCCGUCGCUACUACCGAUUGAAUGGCUCAGUGAGGCUUCCGGACUGGCCCAGGGAGGUCGGCAACGACCACCCAGGGCCGGAAAGCUAU
rnacentral:misc_RNA from 1 species